rnacentral:lncRNA from 1 species
CGCCACCGCCGGUCGCCCUCGACGCCACCGCCGUUGAUCUCUGCUUGAGGGUCGAGGCCACCUCUGCUCGCCCUCGACGGCACCACGGCUGACCCCUGGGCCCUGGCUCACCGUUUGCCCUCGACGCCACCGUUGCUCGCCCUCGACGCCACCGCUCGCUGACCCCUGCUCGAGGCCACCUCCUCUCGCCCUCGACAGCACCGGUCACCACCGCUGACCUCUGGCUCGCCGAUCGCCCUCGACGCCACCGUCGCUCGCCCUCGACGCCAC